AUCACUUACCUGUUUACCUGUUGACGAUGUCGGACCCUCUUACUCUGCCACCUUGUCGUAUAUGUACAGGUAUUGCCACAGGGAUACACUAUGGCAUUAAUACCUGUGAAGCAUGUAAGGCUUUCUUUCGGCGUGCUUCAAUGGAGAAGGAUAAGUACCAAUGUACGGCUGAUUAUAAUUGUGUCAUCACUGACAGACGACGGGGAAACUGCUCUGCUUGUCGUCUAAAGAAAUGGUUAGAUCUUGGAAUGUCAAAAGGGGGCAAGUAUAUUUACUUACACUGUCUAUAGGCCAGCAAUGACUCCUCUCCUAUUUUGGCAAAUUAAAUGUGAAGAGGCUUCAUAUCUAUACUUGGUUAUUAGCUCACCAGUUGAGCUUAUGCUAAACAUCUUCUGUCCAUCAACAGUUCAAGCAACUUCUUAAUUAUCCAUGAUU